UUAAAAAAAAAAACCCUAGCUUACGCCGCCGCUACCUCUCUCUCGCCGUUCUCGCUGUUCCCUCUCUCUCUCUCUCUCUCCGGCGUCGCCGCUCUCUCUCUCGCUCACUAAGAUCUCACAAAUAUUUUAGGUGCAUAUAUGUAAGCUGCAAAAGGCAUCAAAGAUCUCACAGAUCUGUUCCUUGAAUUUUCAAAAAUCCUAAACCACUUUCACAGAGAACAAGAUUCAAGCACUUGACCUGAGCUUCUCCUUUCUUAGCAUCGACUUCUUCGAGUGCAAUGGGACCUCCUUUGAUCCACCACGAGACUCAUGUUGUUGCUUCAUCUGCUCCUCCUGCGGUUGCCCCAUCACCAAACAUGAACAUUCUUGGACAUGCUUCUGUUGCUCAAUCCAAUUCCAUGGCCUUAACUGAGUGAAGCGACAUCAGCAGGUGCCAAAUGCCAGCUCUACAUGGAGGGAUUGCCUUGAAGUCUUGAAGCUGAUUCUGUCGGAAUCUAAUUUUUUAUAAAUGUGUAUAUAUGUAUUUAUAUAUUGCUUUAUCUUUUUAGUUAUUCUUUAUGUUCCUCUAAAUGGUUGGUCCUGAAUAUUCUCAGGUCCAACUUUUACCAAGUGAUGUUCUCAAAAAUAAUUCCCAAGUUAUUUGGUGGACAUUACUUGUAAUUUCUUUUUGGGAUUUUAUGAAUUAUGGUAAAUAUUAUAUGCUUAAAUGUUU